AUUUCCAUAAAGAAUAACUCAAACCAGAACAGAGCUUCAUUUCAAGGCCUUUCCUGCUCCACCUCACGUGGAACUGUGGAAGUGGAACCUCUCUCUCUAACCAUUCCGGUAGUCCAUCUCGCAGAUCACAGUUCACCCAAAGCCAAAAACCGCAUUCAGAACCCUAACGAGAAGAACACAAGGAAAGAGCAAAGAGGGAGAGAGAGAAUGUCAACAACAAGAAGACCAAAAUGGAAACCACCUCCACCUCCAAGCCCUAAAAUUCUCCACUUACCCAGGAGAACUCGCCGGAAAGCGACCAAAAAGGUAGCCAUCGGCAAGUUUAUUCCUGUCAGGGAACCAGAUUCUCUCUCUAACCAUAGAGAGAAGCUAGAGACUUUAUUUGAUCAAGAGAGUUCUUUCUCUCACACUGUUCCAAUGAACAGUGGGGACUCUGAGAGGAGAGGGAGAGUUAAGGACUUUGAUUAUGGAUAUGGAGAGAAAGGACGGGAUUUGGAAGAUGAGAAGUGGCGGUUUCAAGCGGAGAUUCUUCGUGCUGAGUGUCAAUUUCUGAGGAUGGAGAGGGAGAUUGCUUUGAAGAAGUUGGAGAAGAGCCGAGUUCAGAUGGAGAGGACUCUUCGUUCUGCAGUAGAAACAUUGAUUUCUGUGAGGAAGAGGAUCUACGAAGGAAAAAACUUCGGCGUUGUCUUAGAAGAGGAAAUUGAAGAUCUUGAAGAGAAACUGGAAGAGUUGCAGAGGAGGAGUCCAGGAAGAUUUAGAGAUUUCGAUGUUCAAAAGUGUAGUAAUUUUGAUAAGCAGGCAACGAUUCUACAAAGACGAUUAGAGAAGAUCGGAGGAAGAGGAAUUUCUGAAGAUGAGAGCGUGAAGGAGAUUCGAGAAAUAGCCGAGGCAAGCUUGGCGAUCGAUACGAACUGUAGAUCCGUUGACAGCUUCGUUUCGAAUCGUAAAACUCGAUUCACAGAUGUGGAGAAUCUUGGAAGGAAAAUGGAAGGGUUGUCGAAGAAGAUGUUGGAGAAGAUGGAAGAGGAAUACAAAUCCAUGGUCUCCAUUACGACUACUUCUACUUCCAGCUCUUUCUCUUCUUCCGGGAGAAUCGAAUUCCCUGAUACGGAUCCUUCUUCUAUAAUUCGACCACACCAUCCUCAGCAGCGGAGGACGGAGACAGUUUGCUCGGGGCGAUGCAAGUCGACAGUGCGGAAGAUAGUGGAGCAGGUAAGGGCAGAGACAGAGCAGUGGACCCAGAUGCAAGAGAUGUUGGGUCAGGUGAGGGAGGAGAUGGAGGAGUUGCGGGCGUCUAGGGAUUUCUUGGAAGAUCGAGCCAUCCACUGCGGGGACCGUAUCCGAUCCCUCCACUCCACUGAGCAAAAAUGGAGGCAGAAAGCUGUGUCCUCGGAGAACAUGGUAACAAAGCUACAAAAACAGAUAUCCGAUCUCUAUGUCGAGCUUGAAAGAUUGAGAAGCGAAUCAGAGAAGAAACCAACCAGAGAUACCCAGAAAGAGAAGGAGAAGCGGGUGUUGAUUUGUCGACUGAAGGAGAAUCAUCACAUCGGCAGCAGCUGCAAUAUCGGUAAACAGAACAAAGCGUACAGCUGCAGUAGUGGGCUUGUCACAGCCCGAAAUCGUUCUCCUCUGCAAGUUAUUGGGAAUUCAUCACCAUUGAAUAAGCAGAGUAGUCUUCCCUAGUCCUGCCGUAAGAUCACUUGAAGUUUGAAGUUAAAAUCCAUGAAGACCACUAUCUUAAUGACUCUGUUUCGCACCCCUAAACAUAUGAAGAAUCCCAACCAACUCAGAAGCUGUGAGGAAGCCACCGACGGAGCCAAGCUCAGGAAAAUCAUCUAUAUCAUUCAUUCCAGUCGUCAGUGCCUUAUUUACCCGACCUCCUCUCCCCACAAUGAAGAGUGUGUACAUCCCUUCUAGUGUGCUUAAAACAUUGAGAGUAUCAAUCGAAUUUGCCACAUACUUCUCUGUGUAUCCAACCUUGCCAUCAGCCACACAACUUUCGUAGAAUUCUGCUAUGCAUUCGUCGUCCAGCGUCAUCUCUUCUUCCAACUCCGGAGUGUGGAACAGAGUAGUAGACCUUAUGUUACUGCUGCUAGUACCACCUGAGGUAACCACCGAAUUUGUGUCUUGUAGGAGUCUGAUAACAGUAAGGUUAAUUCCAGGGUGAUGUGCAAUGCGUUUUGAAUAGGCUAAUGCUUCGCGAUCGUCUUUGCCGCCGAUGAAAAUGACCGCCACGUUUGGGGGCGUAUAAGAAGAUGUGACCUUGUCGAUCAAUCCAAAGCCACGGUCGACGAAUAUCCCCACUGAGCAUAGAGCAUGGCGAAGCACCUUUGGGCAAAUCACCAUAGGAAGUUAGGAACAGAAAAGAAUAAAUCAACCAUGGAAUUUGGUAUGAUCCUAUAUCAAUUAUAUUGUGGCUGAUGAGAUUUGAUGCGGGUUGAAAUGGUCUUGGAAUUGCUCACCUUGUAAGUCUGAUUAUGGGGAUGAAUUAUCCCAAUGUUCGUAUGAGGGGUAUCAAAAUAGUUGUAACAUUGUACCAACCCCCGGCUGGAAGAGGAGAGUUGAUGCCAGUCAAUCCCAUGAAACGUAAACCAACUUAUACGGUGAGGGAAUUCAAGACCAUAUCAACCCACACCUAAUCUCUUUUGUAACUAAUGUGUGAUCAACCCUGAUAUAGGUUCUUAACAAAUUAUAUUUAUAAAGGCAAUGACAGUCAAAAGUGGAUUUUAGAGGGCCUCUCACUUUGUGUUGAGAAUGUCUAAAUUUUGAGGGGAGAAGCAUAGAGUAUUCCACUAAUGGUUCAUGAGAAUGGAUCUUUUGCAUAUUCAUUCACCUUAUAUUUACAUGUGAGGAUCCAACAUUUGUCA